rnacentral:lncRNA from 1 species
CGGGGACCCGGGAACUCGUGCCAAGUGACUGGUGCUCGCUUUAGGCUCCUGCUACCUUCUGCGGGCGGAACGUGGGUGUCCCGGGAAGGGACGGACCCCAUCUCUACUAUGCCGCAAGCGCGUUGUGUCAACAGGCUGGCUGUGGACGGCCCGAUGAGCGUUACUUGAUUUUGUACUUUCGGCCACCUCCAAUUUUCUCAGAACGCAACAUAAGAAAAAAAAAAACUAACAGCAGUGUGUGCAGGAGAGCUUCGAAAAUAUGGGUGCUGAUGUUUGGUCACUGCUAUGGGGGAGGUCGCAGAGCUGAGAGUUGUCGGAGGACGUUUUCUGUCCUGUCUAGCUGUUCAACCCAGGGUCCAGACUUUUCAAGGGCUACUCUAUGGUAGUCCGAACUACUCACUGCUGACACUUGGCACCUAGUCUUCAUUCUGGGACCCCAGAGACAUUCUUCCCUGCUGUGACUAUGCUUGGGGAGGUGUGUCCACUGCCCGGCAUCUCAGCUUCACAAGAGGCCCCACAGGGGUCUCUCACUUGAAGGACAAGGGCCAGGGAGACCAUGUCAGUGGGAAUUACCUGUGAGGUCACGUGCUGCUGCUUCUAGUUCACUCUCUGACCUCUCCUGAAGAAGCCAAGCUGCAGAGAUGAGCUACAAAGGACAUUCUCAGAGCUGUCAAAAAGAAUCAGAGGAGAAAGGCUUCAAAGAAGACUGAGACCAGACCAGCUGCUUGGAAAAAGCAGAAGCCAGCUGAGCUGUCUGGAAGAAGUUUAGAUCAACUGAGGCACCUGGAAAGGACAAUCCACCUCCAACCUGCUGAGCUUCAUGAGUGCUGUGUGUUCCAGGUACCCAGCUUUGUGAGCUGUGGCCCAUGCUGGGGUAGGCUUUGGUGAUACUGCUGGUUUUGAGUCAUUUCUACUCCUAGAGAAAGGCAACGAAGAACUUCUCGUGGUGUUCCGGCUGACUCGGGCUGAUUCUGCUGACUCGUGCUGAUUUGGCAAAUCUUUGGGGUUUCAGCUGGAUGGAGCCACUGCUACUGAUUUGUGCUUGGUGUUUGCUAUUGGACUUAACUGCUGAUAUCCUGACAAGGAAGAUUGGAAUUGCCCCCAAAGGACUACUUCUAAGCAGGUCUACAGACCCCUUUCCUUUUAACCUUCUUUUCCCACUACCUCUGGGUGGUGGGCUAGAAGAGAGGUUUAAUUAAGAACCGUAAUUAAAGUAAGUUUUGAAAAAUCU